rnacentral:rRNA from 1 species
GACGAACGCUGGCGGCGUGCUUAACACAUGCAAGUCGAACGAUGAACCACUUCGGUGGGGAUUAGUGGCGAACGGGUGAGUAACACGUGGGCAAUCUGCCCUUCACUCUGGGACAAGCCCUGGAAACGGGGGUCUAAUACCGGAUAACACUGCCACGGGCAUCUGUGGUGGUUAAAAGCUCCGGCGGUGAAGGAUGAGCCCGCGGCCUAUCAGCUUGUUGGUGACGGUAAUGGCCACCAAGGCGACGACGGGUAGCCGGCCUGAGAGGGCGACCGGCCACACUGGGACU